UACGGAGGGGGCUAGCGUUGUUCGGAAUUACUGGGCGUAAAGCGCACGUAGGCGGCUUCGCAAGUCCGAGGUGAAAGCCCGGGGCUCAACCCCGGACCUGCCUUUGAGACUGCGUCGCUCGAAUCCGGGAGAGGCGGAGGGAAUUUCCGGUGGAGAGGUGAAAUUCGUAGAGAUUCGGAAGAACACCAGUGGCGAAGGCGGCCCGCUGGACCGGCAUUGACGCUGAGGUGCGAAAGCGUGGGGAGCAAACAGG
rnacentral:rRNA from 1 species